rnacentral:rRNA from 1 species
CUGCAGUCGAGCGCGGGAAGCAGGCAGAUCCUCUUCGGAGGUGACGCCUGUGGAACGAGCGGCGGACGGGUGAGUAACACGUGGGCAACCUGCCUGUAAGAUUGGGAUAACCCCGGGAAACCGGGGCUAAUACCGGAUAAUACUUUUCGUUGCAUAACGAGAAGUUGAAAGGCGGCUUUUAGCUGUCACUUACAGAUGGGCCCGCGGCGCAUUAGCUAGUUGGUAAGGUAACGGCUUACCAAGGCGACGAUGCGUAGCCGACCUGAGAGGGUGAUCGGCCACACUGGGACUGAGACACGGCCCAGACUCCUACGGGAGGCAGCAGUAGGGAAUCUUCCGCAAUGGACGAAAGUCUGACGGAGCAACGCCGCGUGAGUGAUGAAGGUUUUCGGAUCGUAAAACUCUGUUGUCAGGGAAGAACAAGUGCCGUUCAAAUAGGGCGGCACCUUGACGGUACCUGACCAGAAAGCCCCGGCUAACUACGUGCCAGCAGCCGCGGUAAUACGUAGGGGGCAAGCGUUGUCCGGAAUUAUUGGGCGUAAAGCGCGCGCAGGCGGUCCUUUAAGUCUGAUGUGAAAGCCCACGGCUUAACCGUGGAGGGCCAUUGGAAACUGGAGGACUUGAGUACAGAAGAGGAGAGUGGAAUUCCACGUGUAGCGGUGAAAUGCGUAGAGAUGUGGAGGAACACCAGUGGCGAAGGCGACUCUCUGGUCUGUAACUGACGCUGAGGUGCGAAAGCGUGGGGAGCGAACAGGAUUAGAUACCCUGGUAGUCCACGCCGUAAACGAUGAGUGCUAGGUGUUAGGGGGUUUCCGCCCCUUAGUGCUGAAGUUAACGCAUUAAGCACUCCGCCUGGGGAGUACGGCCGCAAGGCUGAAACUCAAAAGAAUUGACGGGGGCCCGCACAAGCGGUGGAGCAUGUGGUUAAUUCGAAGCAACGCGA